GUGCUCUCUUUGGCAGCACACACACUAAAAUUGGAACAACACAGAGAAGAUUAGCAUGGCCUCUGCGCAGGGAUGACAAGCAAAUUUGUGAAGCGUUCCAUAUUUUC
rnacentral:snRNA from 1 species